rnacentral:rRNA from 1 species
CCCAGUUCGGAUUGUAGUCUGNAACCCGACUACAUGAAGCUGGAAUCGCUAGUAAUCGCAGGUCAGCAUACUGCGGUGAAUACGUUCCCGGGUCUUGUACACACCGCCCGUCACACCAUGGGAGCCGGAAAUGCCCGAAGCCAGUGACCCAACCUUAGGGUGGGAGCUGUCGAAGGUGGAGCCGGUAACUGGGGUGAAGUCGUAACAAGGUACC